rnacentral:rRNA from 1 species
CAGCAGCCACGGUAAUACGUAGGGUGCAAGCGUUAAUCGGAAUUACUGGGCGUAAAGCGUGCGCAGGCGGUUAUAUAAGACAGAUGUGAAAUCCCCGGGCUCAACCUGGGAACUGCAUUUGUGACUGUAUAGCUAGAGUACGGCAGAGGGGGGUGGAAUUCCGCGUGUAGCAGUGAAAUGCGUAGAUAUGCGGAGGAACACCGAUGGCGAAGGCAAUCCCCUGGGCCUGUACUGACGCUCAUGCACGAAAGCGUGGGGAGCAAACAGGAUUAGAUACCCCAGUAGUCCCUGUCUCUUAUAA